rnacentral:SRP_RNA from 1 species
AUUCGGGUCUUGCGCAAUCCGACGGUAUGAACCUCGUCAGGUCCGGAAGGAAGCAGCGAUAAGUACAAUGUCGGAUGUGCCGCAAGGGUGCCUUAGUCAG